UCUACAAAUAUUUAUAUUUAUAAAAUAUUUAUAUUUAUAAAGUAACUAUACUACCAAAGAUAUACAGUAAUAAUGUUGUUGCUUAUUAUGAAAGGCAACAAUUACGUGGCGUGCAAGUUUUAAACAAAUUAAGUCAAGAAAUAAAAGACAAAACCCCAAAAGUCCACAACCACAUGUUUACUACACAGAAGCCCACGUGAUGAAUGAGCUUUCACAUCUCAUCAUUUAUUAAGUUUCAUCUCGUCUCUCCUCAUCAUUUAAGACUUUCAGACAUCACAAUCUUCUCAAAUCAUCACCUUUCUCUCUUGAAAGUUGAAACUUGAAACACCAAAAGUCAGGCUAGUUCAAGAUUUCAAACCUCACGUUUUUACAGAUGUUUACAGUUCGAUUGUUGCCAUCAACAACCAGCAAGGGAUCUCCUCUACGGCAAAAACACUCUGUACCGGCCGAAUCUUGAAUUUCGGCCGAAAUUCACUGAAACGAACCGGAACGCCCGGAUCACACCGAAAUAGGCCGAAAUUUCAUCUGAAGUGGAACAAGGGGUGUGUCAUUCCGGUUUUUACACUGGUACGGUACAGCGUUUCGGCUGUAUCGGCAGAGAUACCAGAUUUCGGCCGGAAAAUGGAUACCGGCCCGAAACAAAAUCACAGAUUGCUAUGUAAUUUUCCACUCGCCUAAGAAUAUUUCUCAACAAAUCUCAA